GUUUUUGGAGGAAGGUUCGUCCGCUCCAAGUUAGUCGGGAGCUAAGGUGAGGCCGAAAGGCGUAGCCGAUGCACAGACGGUAGAGAUUCCGUCACCACCAAAAGAGUUAAGCACAGGGACACAUUUGAAGGGUCUGAGCCGGGAGUUGGUUCCGGUAGUGAUCGAGGGAAGUUAGUACCGAAGUCAGGCUUGGAAGAUGGCGAGAAAAGCUGUGUGUAUUUCUGCGGUGCCCGUACCGCAAACCGACACAGGUAGGUAGGAAGAAGAUUCUAAGGCCAACGGGAGAAGGGUUGUUAAGGAACUCGGCAAAUUGACCCCGUAACUUCGGGAGAAGGGGUGCUCCAGAGAUGGAGCCGCAGAGAAUCGGCCCAAGCAACUGUUUACCAAAAACACAGGUUUGUGCUAAAUCGAAAGAUGACGUAUACGAGCUGACGCCUGCCCGGUGCUGGAAGGUUAAGAGGAGAUGUGAGAGCAUUGAAUUGAAGCCCCAGUGAACGGCGGCCGUAACUAUAACGGUCCUAAGGUAGCGAAAUUCCUUGUCAGGUAAGUUCUGACCCGCAUGAAAGGCGUAAUGAUUUGGGCACUGUCUCAACAGCCCGCCCGGCGAAAUUGUAGUACCGGUGAAGAUGCCGGUUACCCGCGACAAGACGGAAAGACCCCAUGGAGCUUUACUGUAGCCUAAUAUUGGGUUUCGAUGUUGCAUGCACAGGAUAGAUGGGACACUGGGAAGCAAGGGCUUUGGCUUUUGUGGAGUGGCCGUUGGGAUACCAUCCUUGCGAUAUUGGAAUUCUAACCUGCGCCUUUGAAGCAAGGCGGGGGACAUUGUUAGGUGGGCAGUUUGACUGGGGCGGUCGCCUCCUAAAAAGUAACGGAGGCGUUCAAAGGUUCGCUCAGCUUGAACGGAAAUCAAGCGUAAGAGUGCAAACGCAGAAGCGAGCCUAACUGCGAGACUGACGGGUCGAGCAGUAACGAAAGUUGGAGUUAGUGAUCCGGUGGUAUGUGAGUGGAAAUGCCAUCGCUCAACGGAUAAAAGUUACCCUGGGGAUAACAGGCUGAUCUCCCCCAAGAGUCCACAUCGACGGGGAGGUUUGGCACCUCGAUGUCGGCUCAUCGCAUCCUGGGGCUGUAUUCGGUCCCAAGGGUUUGGCUGUUCGCCAAUUAAAGCGGUACGCGAGCUGGGUUCAGAACGUCGUGAGACAGUUCGGUCCCUAUCUGUCGUGGGCGCAGGAUAUUUGAUGGGAGCUGUCCCUAGUACGAGAGGACCGGGACGGACGUACCUCUGGCGCACCAGUUGUUCUGCCAAGAGCAUAGCUGGGCAACUAUGUACGGAUCGGAUAAACGCUGAAAGCAUCUAAGCGUGAAGCCGACCCAAAGAUAAGAUAUCCCACUGAACAAUCAGGUAAGAUCCCUUGAAGACUACAAGGUUGAUAGGCACAAUGUGUAAGUGGAGUGAUCCAUUCAGCAAGCGUGUACUAAUAGAUCGAGGGCUUGACCAC
rnacentral:rRNA from 1 species